rnacentral:rRNA from 1 species
UACGAAGGGAGCGAGCGUUGUCCGGAAUUACUGGGCGUAAAGAGCACGUAGGCGGCUAUAUUAGUUGGGUGUGAAAUCCCAGGGCUUAACCCUGGAACUGCAUCCAAUACUGUAUAGCUAGAGACCGAGAGAGGAAAAUGGAAUUACGAGUGUAGAGGUGAAAUUCGUAGAUAUUCGUAGGAACACCAGAGGCGAAAGCGAUUUUCUGGCUCGGUACUGACGCUCAGGUGCGAAAGCGUGGGGAGCAAAC